UCGGGUUGUUUGGGAAUGCAGCCCUAAGCGGGUGGUAAACUCCAUCCAAGGCUAAAUACCAGCACGAGUCCGAUAGCGAAGAAGUACCGCGAGGGAAGGUUGAAAAGAACUUUGAAGAGAGAGUUCAAGAGUACGUGAAACCGCUGAGAGGCAAACUGGUGGAACUGAAAUGGUCCCGAGGAAUUCAGCCGUUGGUCGUUGCACAGUCUUUGGUGAAUGAUCUAACGACGGCGCCAUUGAAUGACGUUCCGAUCAUCGGUGCACUUUCCUCGCCUGGGCCCGACCACGACCGGUGAGCUGAUCUGUCUGUCGUGCUUGGAAGAUAGCGCCGUCUUCGGAAGGCGUGUUAUAGACAGGCAUACGGAGCAGUCGGCGCACUGGAUGAUAGUGCCUGCCCAUCUGGGCUCAUAUGGUGGUUGUUUUGUUGGCGAGUUCUGAUGUCACUACUUCGGUAGAGUCGUUAGACUCUGUUGGCAUUAUGGCUGUCCUCUAUGAUUGGCACUGUUAAGUCGGUGGUUGUGAAGUAGGUAGUCCACCUGACCCGUCUUGAAACACGGACCAAGGAGUCUAACAUGUGCGCGAGUCAUUGGGUUCACGAAACCUAAAGGCGCAGUGAAGGUAAAGAUCUGUUUUGGCAGAUUGAGGUGGGAUGCCGGGUUACGCGCCCGGCCGCACUACCGGCCCGUUCUAUAUGUCUUUCAUAGGAGCGGAGCAAGAGCGUACACGUUGGGACCCGAAAGAUGGUGAACUAUGCUUGCGCAGGUCGAAGCCAGAGGAAACUCUGGUGGAGGACCGCAGCGAUUCUGACGUGCAAAUCGAUCGUCAAACGUGAGUAUAGGGGCGAAAGACUAAUCGAACCAUCUAGUAGCUGGUUCCCUUCG
rnacentral:rRNA from 1 species